CCCUGGUUAGCUCAGUUGGUAGAGCGCUGCAGUUGUAAUGGAGAGGUCCCGGGUUCGAUACCCGGACCAGGCG
rnacentral:tRNA from 2 species